CUGCACUAGUUGGGGAGCCAGCGGUGCCCUGUAACCUGCAAUCCGCUACAGCAGGGACGAAUUCCCAGCCGAGGAUAUGUUCUGUGUCGUCUGACCCCGGUAAGCAGCGUUGACGAUCCGGUCUCGCGCAACGGAAAGUGCUUUUCGUGUGCCGCGAGGCAGCCGGGUCCGAGCCGGCUGCCGGCGUAACGGGCAUAGCGCAUGAUUCGGAGCGGGGUGUGCAG
rnacentral:SRP_RNA from 1 species